UACGUAGGGGGCAAGCGUUGUCCGGAAUCAUUGGGCGUAAAGAGCGUGUAGGCGGCCAGAUAAGUCCGCUGUGAAAACUCGAGGAUCAACUUCGAGCUGUCGGCGGAAACUAUCUGGCUAGAGUCCGGAAGAGGAGAGUGGAAUUCCUGGUGUAGCGGUGAAAUGCGCAGAUAUCAGGAAGAACACCCGUGGCGAAGGCGGCUCUCUGGGACGGUACUGACGCUGAGACGCGAAAGCGUGGGGAGCGAACAGG
rnacentral:rRNA from 1 species